GUGAAGAACGCAGCGAAAUGCGAUACUUGGUGUGAAUUGCAGAAUCCCGUGAACCAUCGAGUCUUUGAACGCAAGUUGCGCCCGAAGCCACUAGGCCGAGGGCACGCCUGCCUGGGCGUCACACGCCGUUGCCCCCCCAUCUACUCCUUCGGGAUUGCGGGGGGGCGGAUGAUGGCCUCCCGUGCGCCUAGCCGCGCGGUUGGCAUAAAUACCAAGUCCUCGGCGACGCACGCCACGACAAUCGGUGGUUGCGAAACCUCGGUUGCCCGUCGUGUGCGUUCGUCGCGCAUCGAGGGCUCGAAAAAAUGCUCGGCUCCGGCUGGGCUUUCAACGCGACCCCAGGUCAGGCGGGGUUACCCGCUGAAUUUAAGCAUAUCAAUAAGCGGAGGA
rnacentral:misc_RNA from 1 species